CGCGUAGGCGGUCCGGUAAGUCGGGUGUGAAAAUCCGGGGCUCAACCCCGGACCUGCAUUCGAUACUGCCGGGCUGGAGGCAGGUAGGGGAGAGUGGAAUUCCUGGUGUAGCGGUGAGAUGCGCAGAUAUCAGGAGGAACACCGGUGGCGAAGGCGGCUCUCUGGACCUGUCCUGACGCUCAGGCGCGAAAGCUAGGGGAGCAAACA
rnacentral:rRNA from 1 species